rfam:Schistosoma curassoni strain Dakar, Senegal genome assembly, scaffold: SCTD_scaffold0000054
GCACUGUUGAGGAGUCCCGCGACAGGACGAAAUGGCCGUCCAGUGC